rnacentral:rRNA from 1 species
GAUCAUGGCUCAGGACGAACGCUGGCGGCGUGCUUAACACAUGCAAGUCGAACGCUGAAGCUCAGCUUUUGUUGGGUGGAUGAGUGGCGAACGGGUGAGUAACACGUGAGUAACCUGCCCCCUUCUUUGGGAUAACGCCCGGAAACGGGUGCUAAUACUGGAUAUUCACUGGUCUUCGCAUGGGGGUUGGUGGAAAGGGUUUUUCUGGUGGGGGAUGGGCUCGCGGCCUAUCAGCUUGUUGGUGGGGUGAUGG